GUUCUACUCCCUCCGUUCGGAAUUACUUGUCGCAGAAAUGGAUGUAUCUAGAACUACGUCUAGAUACAUCCAUUUCUGCGACAAGUAAUUCCGAACGGAGGGAGUAUUAA
rfam:Triticum urartu cultivar G1812 contig477932, whole genome shotgun sequence.